UAAAGAAAGAAUGAAUCCACGCUGUUUUGUUGAAGAAUUCAUCAAGAAAGUUGAUAGGAUUCCCCGUCAUUGCUUUAUUUGACUUCUGCAUAGUAACUGAUGAUGGCAUGCAUUGUGUAUUUUUAUUGAAACAAAUUUACAUGAGAACAUAGCUAUGACAACACAGUAUGCACACUUUAUAGACAGGUGUGUUCCAUCGAAUCGAUAUCCGUUGAUAUCUAUUUUUGGAAAAUUAGGCAAACAAGGAACAGGUUACUAAAAACUGCUUUUGCUGAUGUCACUGUGUUACAGUUUGGAGGUAUAAUGCACUGAUUCAUUUUGAAAUAUGUUCUGUGGCUGCUGGAUGUAUUUUUAAUAAAGAAAGAAUGAAUUCACGCUGUUUUGUUGAAGAAUUCAUCAAGAAAGUUGAUAGGAUGCACAUCACGAACGCAUGCAUAUCAUCGAGCGAUGCUUGAAGUGAAAAAGAGAACAAAGGUCUUUUGAGGAAAAUAACUUUGAGAAAAAGCCUUUUAAAGUAUAUCUGGUUUUUUAACACCAAAAUCAUUACGAAAUGAAAAACUCUAAUUUCACAACGAUGGUUUCAUUGACAUUUAUGCAACUCGUGAGACAUUUGAAGAUUAAUCCUCAGAAAGAAAACGUGUCAUUUGAUAGCUACUUAAAGAAAGAAUUACUGUAAAACGGGUCGACUUGGUUGAGGAAAUUUGUGCUUCUUACAUCAAUAUACAUGCAUGAAGAAUGGUCAGCAAAAGUAAUAACCAUUUGUUUGUGUAAUAUCUCGUCGAGUUAUUUGAACUAAGUUCAGCUAAGAAUACGAUUCUUGUUUGGUAAAUCACAAGAAAAGACAAGUCAAUUGUAAAUGACAAUUUGGCAUGGAAAGGUUGACACUCAGGAUGUUGGUCAGCUAGCCUGAAAAUUGGGCACCAUGGAUGAACCAUCAACUUUCUAAAGUUCUCCAAAAAUUAUUCCUGGGCUCCUAAAUUUUUUCAUGAGCUCAGCAUCCGAUCACUUCAUCCUUACAACGGAAAGAAAUUUUGACGUUCAUGGCGUGAAUUCGUCAAUUCGUCGUGAAACUUGUUACUUGUUACUUGUUGAAAACCGUGAAGAAAUACUAAUGCCACCAGGCCCGAAAGACACCGAUAUGCGCGACAAAUUUCUGGCAAAGUUUGUUAUCAUGCCAGCAAAAGCCAAUCCUACGGUUUUACCUAGUUUGAAAGGAAGAAUGUUCCACUAUAAUAUCUGGUCUGUGUCAUUGUAGGUAUUAUCGAAGUUGUAAUUUGAAUGGAUGAUACUAAGAUCUUGAAGUCAUAACUUGUAAUAUUUGUCGACGUAUGAGUCGUUUUUCCAACAUCAGUUGUGUUAAUGUUUGACAAUGGAGAAGUAAUUGCUAAAAAUUAUAAAAAAAUAGAUAAAA